AGAGAAUCUUAAGCAGGCUGGACAUAGGGCUCAAUCUCAUGACCCUGCGAUCAUGACCUGAGCUGAAAUCAACAGUCAGAUACUCAACCGACUGAGCCACCCAGGUGCCCCAGAACUUGCCUUUUUACAAGCUGCCUGGUACAGUCCAGACUGUGCAUGCAGCCUAGAUGCUCUACAUACAUAUGCUUCUUUCAUCACAACAGUCUUGACAGAGGGAUAGUCCAAUCUCCGUUUUUUAUAAGAGUGAAAACCCAACACUUAAAGAGGUUAAAUAACAGACCCAAGUCACCUCACUCGGACAUGGCAGGGCCACAAUGAUAGCCUCUUUCCUUUGUCAAUAAGCCCACAGGUUUUCAGCCCUGCUCCUUGUUGGUACUGAGCUGUGAGGAUAGUGAGUGAUACACCUGCCUUCAGGGAGAGGACACUCUCAUUGAGAAUUAGAAGGGCACACAGCUCCUGAGAAAGGACUGUGGGCAGAGAUAGGAGGGCAUGUACCAAGCACAGUGGCGCCACCAUUGAGAGAAUAGUUUGGGGACUGGGGAAAGACGUCACCUACAUCAUAAGAUAAAUUGGUUUUGUGCAUUGGUUAGAGUAUCUCCACGAAGGAAGAGGGGAAUGGGACAUUUCAGGCAGGAAAACAGAAUGGGCCAAAGUCAUGAGACAUGAAACAGUAUGGCGUGUUCUUUAGACUUCAGGGGGUUCCCUGUGGCUGGAAAAUUAGUACAAAGAAUGGAGCAUGGGAGGAUGGGUUGGAAAUGUGAUGGAAGAUUGAAAAGUAGGCAGGAGCUAGGUCAUGGUGGGGGCUGGCAUUGGCAUUCCAUGCUGUGGAGUUUGGGUUUAUUCAGAAGAUAGUGAGAAUCCAUUGACUGUCUCUAAAAAGAUUGACCAAGUCAGACCAGUCAGUUCCCAGUAUGAAAAGGUGAUGUGCUGUAGUGGGGGAAUGAAUUGGAUGGUAUAAAACCAAAAGCAAAAUCCAAUUAGGUGGCCAUGUCAGUAAUCCAAGUAAGAAAUGAUCAUUGCCUGGACAAAGGUAGUGGUGGGAUGCAAUGACAGAAUCAAUUAGAAAUGGAUGGAUGUCCAGAUACAGUGUGAUACAAGAGAGAGAUUUGUAGAUGACUCUUGUUUCACAAUUUAGCAGAUUGGGUGUGAAUACAAGAGGAAGCAUAGUGCUGGGUGAGAAAAUGAGUUCAACUCUUCUACGUGUGAUAUGGUCGUGCUAGUGUCAGUACCGGAGGUUGAUGUUUUAAUGGUAGCAGAUGCUUCCUCAUAAUAUACUGCAUUUAUGCUCCACUGUGGUAGAGGUCCUGUUUGUCUGCUCAGCAUCCAUGUCCCCCUUCCAUAAACAUCGGCAGAAUGUCUUUUUCUUUUGAAAACCUUGCGUCUUCUUGUCUUAAUUGAUUUUCAGGGGUGGUAAUUCAUCCCUGGCUGCAAAGUAAGGGCAUGAGCCAGUUCUGGUCAGCGUCAGGACCCCAGCCAUCUCCCUGGCUCUAGUGAUUGAUUGGUUCAGGGUGGUUAUGUGCCCCAUGCUGAACCAAUCAGAACAUGAGGCCAAGGAUUUUUUCUGGAACUUCUGGAAAAGAUUUUCCACUCCAGUCGCUAAACUAUGAGGAGAUGAGACUGGAACUUCCAUCAGUCAUUUUGCCACUGUGUCAGGGGCUCCUUGAGACCUCCCCUAGAUUCUGUGAUUUCCUAGGAUGACUUACAGGACUCAGCGUGAGUCAUACUCAUGGCUAUGACUAACUUUAGCAGAAAAGAUAAAGCAAAAUCAGCAAAGGAAAAGGUACAUGGGUGAAGUCCAGGAGUAACUAGGCUCAGGCUUCCAGAGUCCUUUCCUAGUGCCAUCAUCCAGGUCACACUUCAUUCCUCUAGCAAUGAGUUGUGGUGACAUUAGUGAAAUGCUCUUCACCAGGAAAACUCAUUAGAAAUUUAGCACCUGGGAUCUUUACUGGGGGCUUGUCAUGUAGGCACCUUCUACUAGCCCAUACCAAAAUACCAGACUCCCAGAAGGAAAGCAGGUGUUCAUAAUAAACCAUAAUGUUUGCACAGUUUAGACAAUGGGCAAUUCUUACCAGGGAAGAGCGGGAACCUUCCUGGAACCCAGGUUCACAGGUGCCAGCCAAGGCCUAACUUGGCAAGCAGGCCUUUUAAAAGAGAAAAGUAUCGGGCCGGCUGUGGUGCCUCUUUCCUGCACAGCUUUUCUGUCUGAGAGUUAAAGCGGAUCUGAGAGCCUGAAAAGAGAGACCGAUUCCAGAUUACAUUGUAUUAUAGUCCCUAGUUCCAGCCAUGCCUGAAGCAGAUUUUCCUUUUUUAAUUUCUUAGGUCAAUUUAAAUUUCUGUCACUUACAGUCUUAAGAAGCACACUGGCCAAUAAAACCUGUUCUACCUAAAAUGUUCUUUUUUAACUUCUUUACCACAUAUCCCCAUCACUGUUCCUUGUCUCAAAUGGGGUCUUCCUCGGUGACCAGGACUAGCCUAUAAUAGACAUGGUAAAUUUUUGGCACAUGAACAGAUUUUCUUCAGUUUUUUAGAGGAGUAUUCUGUCUAGAUUGAAAAGGUAGAUUUUGGAGCCGAUUUAUCCUCAAAUGUGACCUAAAUUAAAAGUUUGACCUAACUGAAUAUCUCCUUGAUCUUCCCUUUUACAAAUUACUCUUUCCUGAGAAAUUGGCCAUAGCUUCUAGUAAGUAGUGCCUCCCGCUUGGGCUCUGUCCUGGGCAUUCUUCCUUGUUUGGCCUAAUUAACUAUGUCAUCAUUCAAGCAGAUUAGGUGUGUGCCUUCCUGGGACAUCAAUUAAAAAAUAAAUCAGUGUUUGUCAAAGUGGAAAGGUGACACGUUGAAAGAUGCAUUUUCUUUCCAGUCUUGUAUGGAAGCAGUAGAAAACAAAGGAAGUGUUGUAGUGGCUUUGCUGGCAUGCUCACAUGGAGGAAAUAGGGACUGGAAGGAUGUUAAGAGAUUGUGAGCUAGUUUAGUGCUUUCUGUCGCAAAGGUAAGGAGAGGUCCAGAAGGUCUUUAAUUUGUAAGAUGCAGUUGCAGGAGAACUUAACUUAGGUACAGGUCUCUGUUUUGUCAUUACUACUGGCCUUAGGCAGGUCACUCUACCUUUCUGACCCAAGGAUAAUUCUUUGAUAAGUAUUUAUUGAGUACCUCAUGCAGAAAUGAAUCUGUAAAAUGAAUGAGUUUGCCUGGACAAUCUCAAUGCCCCUUUCAGGUCUGCGAAUCUUAACACAAAUUCACAUGGCUAGAGGCAAAGCCAGAAUCACAGAAAACAUGAGUCCUUUUCAUGCCUCCCUUGACCCCACAUUUAUCUACCAGCAAGUCCUGUGAGACCACCUUCAAGGUGUAUCCCAAUCCAAGCCUAGGAGAUGCUAAAAAAUUAGUUAUUGAAUAAACAGAAUUAGGUCUUCAGCUUCUGUGGCUCCUUGGAUUCUAGAAUAAUGUUUGUUUGUUUGUUUGGUUGGUUGGUUGGUUGGUUGGUUGGUUUUCCCCUGUCUGCUCCUAUAAAGUAGGAAAUCAUCUGCCCUGGAGUCUCCAAGGGGACCUGAAGCAGUGAGUUUCAAGGCAGGCAUGAAACACAGUUUAAGACAGGAGUGGAGAUCCAGUGAGGAGAAUGAAGUCAGCCCCAAAGUAGGGUUCCCAUGAGGAUCUAGAACUUCUACAGUGAAUGGUGACUAGCUGGCUUGGCUCAGUCCAGCGAGAAGCUCCUGACAGUGGGCUUCCAAACCCACACCAGGUUCUGGCCUCUGUCUUGGAGAGAGGUGUGGAAGCACCAAUGAUGGGAGGUGGGCUUUGAAUACCUGUUGAUGCUUCUCCAUUGCGGCAUAUGCUAGGUGCCCAUCCCUAUAGCAUUUGUUCCUCUGACUUAGGUUUUUAGAGGCACACUGAUGCCCAUGACUUCGGCUCUACGUUUUUGUUUUGUUUUGUUGUUGUUUUUGCUUUCACAUUUUGAGGAAGAAAAUAUGUUUUCUUUGUAAAACAGUAAGAAGAGAAGUCUAGUCAGGACAGGGUGCAGGCAGCAUAAAGACGCCCUCUGGGCAUUAUUGUAAUAGUGAAAGAGCUUCAUCUCCAGAGGCAAAAACAAGAAUUUACUAGAUCCUUUCGCAAACAGACUGCUCUGUCGUGGGCAUCAUUAAGGUUCACUACACUGAUCCAUUUUAUAUGUAUGUGUCAUGAAUAAAACAAUGCACGUCCGUAUCAGCACAAAGAAAAUAAAACUCCUCCUGUGUUUCUACUACCUAGAGUUCAGUGUUAACAUUAUAGUAUAUUUCCUUUCAGACACUUUUCCAUGCACAUAAAAUUGUUUAUUUUUUGUAUAAAAUUAGGAUCCUGUUGUAAUACUGUUUGCACAUUAUUGUGUUUUCUCCUUAACUACACGUUGCGGCCGUUUUCCAGUGUGAUGUGCCAUGUUGUUUUUUAUGCUUCCUCAUAUCCUGUGGUAUGGCUGUGUUAUUAUUUGCCAAUCCAGGCCUUCUGUUUUAGAUUCUUGGGCCAUUUCCAAUGGUUUUUGGUAUUCUCAAGAAGAGCAGAAUGCUCACCCUGUCUUUGGAGUCCUGAGGCUGCUGACAUAUGAAGCUCACUUAGCCUCAUGCUACAAUGUCAUGGCUGCAGAGAGUCAGAUAACCCUGUGUUCAAGUCCCAGCCCUGGCUGUGUGAUCUUGGAUGAGCCAGUUAACAUCUCUCUGUUAUACAUUCCUGCUACGAAAACCAAGUACUUUCUCCCCAGUUCACAGGGGCUGACCUGAGGGUUGAACCCAGUCAUGUACCUCUCUGUUCCCUUCCCUUCUCCUAAAUGUAGUGUUCUUCAACACUGGCUUCAAGUUGGAAUCAGCUGGGAGCUUUCUAAGAAGAGCAGUGCCCAGACCUACUCUCUACCAACCAAGUCAGAAUCUCUGGUCUGGGCUCUGGAUACAGCAUGUUGACAAGCCCCUUCUAUAAGUCUCCUGUGCCCCCAAGGUUGAGACUCCCUGCUCGAAAGUUUCGGCCCCGGGGUCUGCUGGCUGCUGUUGCAAAAGAGACAUUGUGUCGUGGCUGUUUUGUCGUGGGGUGGUGAGGCAGGGUAGUGUUUGGAGACAGGAUUAGAAUCCUGGCACUCAUGCCUCCCAGGGAAAAGUGCCAACCUGUUUAUUUUGUGUCAAGAGCUCAAACAGUGAUCAAAAUCCAAUCCGACAUCAUAAAUACCAGAAAAGGUCAGGACUGGGCUUGCUCGUAGGAUCGAGCGCACACAGCCGAGCUGGGCUUGGCGCUUGGUCAACUCCAAACUUUGAGCUGGCACACAGCGCCGGGGGGACUUGGCAGGGCCCAGGCAUACGGCGCCCCAGCCACAGAAUGGAGGUUCACGUGGCUCUGUUGCUUUUGCCGAAGGAGGAGAAAUGCUAUUUUCUCAGCAGUUGUUCUUCUUGACUCAUUAGUGUACUUGGCAUGUGGUUAUUUUUUAACUUCUUUGCAAAUAUUCGUAGAAAGAGAAGGGGAGUGGAAGGCGGGAGAUGUUGGUGUUUACUGAGCUUGUAUUUUGUGCAGGCCCUCCCAGGAUUGAAGGGGUGCCCCCCUCACACUGGGCCCACUUCCCUAGUGCAGCCGACGCACCUGAGGUCACCACCUGGCCAGCAAGUGGCUGAGGUGGGAAUUUUAUCUGAGGUCAGCAUAACUUCAAAGCCUGUGACCUGUUCCUCAGGAUUCCACAUCUUAGGAGUUCAGGGGGUUUAAUUAGACCAUUUCUGGCUCAUCCUAUCUUGAUUGUGACAAUCAGAAGGAAAUCCCACUGUAAACUAUUAAAAGGUUUUCCAUGUAAGUUUGUCAGGACAGCCUAGGGAAUAGAACAAGACAUACCUUUGUGGGUGACUUUCCCCAUGGGGCUCACGUGGGAACCCCACUGGCUCCUUUACUAAAAGGACAUCCCGUUUCUCAGGAACGGCAGUGGACUGAAUGUCAAGUGCAGACGCCCAUGGGCUUGGGGAGUUUACCUGUCGGGCCCUUUAUUAACAGAGCUGACAGGAAUCCAUUACCCAGCCUUUCUUGCUCCUUGUAUCUAAGUAUAGAUGUAGGAGCAUCAGUACUUUUUAUACCUUUUUGACUAUAUCCUACAGUAAUAAAUAUAUCUUACAUCGCAAUCUAAAGGAAAAUGCGUGUAUGUGUCUAUAUAUGUAUACACAUACACAUUAUACAGACACAGCUGUGUAACUAAAACACAGUGUCUUCAUAAAACAAUACCUUACUAAUGUUCAGCGAAUUUUUAUACUUCUGAUCGAUCUAAAGGAUUUUAAUUUUUAAAAUGCUUGUCGAAACCCACUAAGUUAUUUUCACACCCCCCUAAUGUGUGGCACACCCUAGUUUCAAAAACAUUGGACUGGAAAUUCUCUUAAGAUGGCUUUUUUUUUUUUUUCAACGUUUAUUUAUUUUUGGGACAGAGAGAGACAGAGCAUGAACGGGGGAGGGGCAGAGAGAGAGGGAGACACAGAAUCAGAAACAGGCUCCAGGCUCUGAGCCAUCAGCCCAGAGCCCGACGCGGGGCUCGAACUCCCGGACCGCGAGAUGGUGACCUGGCUGAAGUCGGACGCUUAACCGACUGCGCCACCCAGGCGCCCCGUAAGAUGGCUUUUAACUCUGUUUUGAGCAUUCUAAAAUUCAGCAAAGCUGCCAGUAAUCAGAGAGGAGAUCAUAAACUCAUUUUCUAGAAUGCAUGAGCUGGAAGAGGCCACGGGGAUCUCAUUUAGUCUGUUCCCCCUCUUGUCUGGCCGACCUCCACUUCAGUGAGCUAACGUGUGGGGUGGCAUCCAGCACGGUGGCUGGCACAUGGUGGGGGACCCCAUACAUCUCAUUGUCCUUUCUUCCCAGGCGGGUGUCGGGUUUUAUUCAUCUCUCUCUUCCUAGCUGCUAGUGUAAUGCUCAGCACUGAACUCAGUAAAUCGAUGGGGAAUAAUCUUAAAAAAAAAAAAAAAAAAAAAAAAGGUGGCUCGGUUCUUUUUUCUCAUUAACCUUUGGGGAAGAUGGCUCAAUCCGCUUGGAUGAUGCAAUUCAUUUGCUUUUGGUUUUGUUUUUAACUAACUGCAAUUCAGGAGCACGUACUCAGUGCCUACUGUGUGCCUAGUAAUGGUGGACAUGGAAGAUAUCAUAUGGUGAGUGCACAAGAAAGGGAAGGCAUCCUCGUUCUUAAGGAACUCCUGUAUAAGUGAAGAGGAAGGGGGAGGAGAAGCAGCCGUCAAGUAAUGUGGUCCUUGCUCGUGCAGGGAGUUUACCAAAGUGCUGUGUGGACAUGGAAGAUGGAGAACCAGUUCUGGUCGGGAGUGGCAGGGGCAAACACACAAGGGAAAUACUCGAUCUGGGCUUUGAAGGUUAGUAGGAAUUUGUAGGGGCCAAGCAGAUGGUAAUUCCAGGCAAAAGGAACCUCUUAGAAAUGGCAAAAAGGAGUGGUCCCGCGGGGUAGAUUUGGGGGACAUUAAUUGUGGCUAGGGCUUAAGCUCCGGGCUCAUGGGGCAGCUGGCAUACACAGCAGGUGGUUAAACACUCGGCCUUGAGGCACAAAACACAGGUCUGAAUUUCAGGCCCUUCUUUCUACCUGUGGUAGGCUGAAUAAUGCCCACAAAGAUACCUUCGUCCCGAUACCCGGAACUUGUGGAAAUGAAACUAUAUGGCAAAAGGGACUUUGCAGAUGUGGUUAAGCUAAGGGUAUUGAGAUGGAGAGGUUAUCUUGGAAGAUAAUGGGUGAGCUAAAAAUGUAAGGAGUGUCUGUGAUAUAAUAGAAAAUAUAUAUAUUUGGUCUUUGUCCCCAGUUGCUGACACAGAACUCCUAAAGUUUUUGGAAUUUCCUGGGUAAUACGAAUGUCUUUUACUCUAUUGAGGCUACUCUUAAUGAGCCCCUAGAUAGCUUUAGGAUGGGGCUGGUAGCCAGAAAGACCCAAGGCAUGGUUACAGCAUUGAAAUCUUCAGCCCCCUUCCCCUGCAGGCCCCCUACAUCCAGAAGGGUAAGGGGGUGGAGGCUGAGUUAAUCACCAGCGUGUCAUUUAAUCGAUCAUGCCUAUGUGACAAAACCUCCAUCAAACCCUGGGAGUUGAUGGGCUUCCAGGUUGGUGGGCACCUGGAGAUGCCGGAAGGGUAACACACCCAGAGAUGACGUGGACGCUCUUAUGCCCCUGCCCACGCAUCUUGCCCUAUGCAUCUCUCCCGUUUGGUCAUUCAUGAGUUAAACCUUUUAUAAUAAGCAGGUGGUAAGAAAGUAAAAUGCUUUCCUGAGUUCCGUGAGUCAUUCUAGCAGGUGAUUGAACUUGAACAGUGAGGGUUGUGGGAACCCUCGACUUUGUAGCCAUUUUGGACAGAAGUGUGAGUAACUUGGGGACCCAGUACUUGGGACUUGUGUCUGAAGUGGGGCAGUCUUGUGGGACUCAGCCCUUAACGCUGUGGGUCUGUGCUGACUCCAGGUAGUUAGUGUCAGAAUCGAACUGAGCUGUAGGAUGGUUGGUAUCUGGAGAGUUGGCUGGUGUGAGGAAAGGUCCUACAUAUCUGGUGUCAGAGGCGUUAGGAGUAGAAACAGCGGAGAGGGUCCUUCCAGGAAGAGACAGGGUGAUCUGACUGUGGAGAGAAAGGAUGUGAUACAGAAGCAGGGACUGGAGUAAUGGCUCUGAAGCCAGAGGCAGUGGCCACCAGCCAAGGAACGUGGGCUCCCUGGUAGCUGUAAAGGACAAGGAAUCCGAUUCUGCUCCCAGAGUCUCCAGAAGAGAGCAACCCUGCCGACUCCUUGAUGGUCGCCUAGUCAGAUUCCGUGCUUCCCUCCAGAACCGUGAGGUAAUACAUUUAGCUUCAAGCUACUAAGUUUGUGGUGAUUGUUACAGCAAUUAGGAAACUAAUGCAGUGUCUAGAUGGCCUUUGGGAUUUACUUCUUUAAGCCGCGUGUGUAAAAGUGGGAGUAAAUGGGAAUAAUCAUGCUGACAGCAGCAACCUCACGCUGUGUUUUGGUGAGGACACGGGGAUUAGCCAGCUCCCUGGCAUGUAGGCAAGAUUUAUUUGUGGAAGUAGAUAAAAAUAAGAGACCUCAUCACAGAUCAGAAUGACUUUUUGCUACCAUGCUUGUUGGCUUGUCUUUGUUUCUAGCGAAGCACCAAGCACUGAGGCGAAGGGACCAUAUCUGUUGGGUUUAUCCCUGUCUCCCCAGCGUUUGGCACGGCCCUGGCAUGUUUUGCAUUCUGGAAUUAAUUGAUAAACGAUUGGAUGCAUGCUCUGUUGUAUUUAGAGGUUCCAGAUCAGAGAGGGGAAAUGCACAGCACAGAAGGCCGUUAACAGAGGGAGAGGCAGCAGGUAAGGAGACCAGUGUGGGCCCCACAGUAAUCCAGGUGAGAAGGGGUUUUUCCUGUCUGGCUAACAUCCCUCCUGUCAUACUUUUAUGCUCAUGCCCUUUAAUUCUGUUCGCAGAGCAAGAGAACAGCUGCACACUGUCCUCAAAUGGUCUCUUCCCUACCAUUAAUUUGUUCUUCAGCCUUCUCUUCCCAAGCAAAAUGACCCAAAUUAUUUUGGCUUUCCCUUAUUCAUAGGACAGCGUUGUGAGGCCUUGCAGAUGUUGCAGAUGAUGGUCCAGAGGAUAGAUUUGGUUUGCACACGUGUUUUAAGGGAUCCACACAUACUUUUUUUUUUUUUUAAUGAGAAUUAUAAAACAUGGCAGAUUGAACACAUGUGUUUAUUUCUGGACCCUCCCAAAGUCUACUAAAAUGGAAGGAAAGGAAUAAAAAAUGACACAAGUUCACAAGAACAGAGAUAACAAGAGAGGAGAACGGACAAGGGCAUCAGUAACUGUGGGAUCUAGAAGGCAGAUGGGGGGCACUGCACCCCCAUAGCUCUGACGCCACCCACCCCCUUCACGCACACAUGGGGUUGGGACUGGACGCUGGAGUGAAUGUCGGGAGAUUGCCUCCAAGUCUGUGUCCUGGACAGAGAAGACCCCUCAGUCUCCUCCUCUACCCAGAGCUCAGAAUAUGUGUGGCAGGUUUCCUGUCCUUCUAGACAAGAAAUUGUUUGAUGUCUGUGGGGAAAGGUCCCAGCCCAAGAGUCUGGCACUGACGUUUAGGACAGCCCGUGUGCUCACUUGAGGUCAUUUUAAGUUUCUACUCUCAGCUUCAAACCCAGCCUCGUGUGCUCUGCUCUGCAAUGCUGGGGCUGGGACUCUGCUAACAUUUUAGUCCUGCCCUUGGCUCCUGUGAGGUUCUAUGAAUAGGGCACUAGAGGAAAACUAAGGCUGGAGAGAAGAAGGGGCUUGCUCCUGCUUAUCGACAGUCUGUUUUUUGCAGGACUUCCUCACCUGGGCGUGCAGUUCAUUCCAACUUUAGUCUAUCCCCUCCCAACACCCACAUUGUGGUGUCUCCUUCUCAGGGGCCUGGGCCCCAGGUCUGAGGGGGGGGCCUCCCUUCCUAGCUCCUAAACUCUAGUAAUCCUAAUUCCUCACUUCCCUUUGUUGUGCUGGCUCUCUGAAUGGCACUUGUCACAGGUGCUAUUUAUGUGACAUUUCAGUAUUUUCCUUUUGGCUUUUCCAGCCCCCCCAUACCUAGCUAGCAACCCUUUACUAAGGUUCCUCUGGGUGGGGUUCCUCUUCCUUGACUGGACCCUGACUAAUGGACCUAAUAAGAGACCAAUACUUGUUUCAUCACCCUUUAGUGAAGGCCAACAGCCAGGAAGUCCACCCACAUGAGAUACUGGUCAAAGGGCACAAACGUCCAGUUACAAGAUUAAGAAGUUUGGGGAAUCUAAUGUACUGCAUGGUGAUUCUAGCUCAUCAUACUGUAUCAUACUUGAACAGUGCUAAGAAGGUAGAUCUUAAAUGUUCUCACCGCAAACAAAGAAAUAGUAAUUAUGUGAUGGGAUAGAGUUGGUAGCUGAUACUCUGGUGAUAGUCAUUUUGCGAUUUAUAGGCGUAUCCAGUCAACACCCUGUGCACCUUAAACUUGAUGGUGCAUGUCUGUUAUAUCUCUGUAAAGCUGGGGGGGACAUUUAAAAAAAAUUUUUUUUAAUUAAAAAAAAGUUUUAAAAAGCUUACCCGUGAACUCAAAGCUGCCAAGCCAUUUUUAGUGUCUCAUUCAUAUCUACUGUGAAGAGUCAGUACACAUCAGAGGAAAAUCUCUAAUAUAAAAGCCAGAGGUCCAUUUUGACAGAUGAAUGAAAGGAAUACCUAAGAAACAGAGAUGAGGGAGAAGAGGAGCACUCAGGUAACUUUUGGUCUUAAGAAAGUUAGUAAAUGGCUCUGGGCUUCUGUGUUCUUGUAAAGAAUAUGGGGAUGACAGUACUUAGUCUCUCAGGAAAUUGUUGGGAGCUUAAAUCCUGUAACACCAACAUCUAGCAUAGCUCUUGACACAGGAUGACGUAAACAUUUUGUUAAUAAUAAUAAUAAGUAGUAGUAGUAGUCAGAAAAAUUCUUGGCUUCAUGUCCCUGUUGAAUGGGGAGCCUCGCCACCUAGGUUCUUUCAAAUGACUUUGGGCUAAUGAGAAGAAAACACAAACUAACAACUUAUUGAACACCAAGUGUCAGUCUCUGGGAUAACUCUACAUUAUCCUGCUUAUUGCUGGUAAAAGUCCACGAAGUCUGGGUGUUUUACACCCACUACAUUAGGAAACCGGGGUGCGGAGAGUACUGCCUGAUUUUAAAGCUCCUGUCAGCCUCUUAAAGGGGACUGCAUGCCCAGAGAGAAAGCCUGCCGUGAAGUUUCGAAGGGGCCACAUGGGCAGACAGCCUCUUAUUCUGACUAAUUUAAAACCAGGAAGGUGUUCCGAAUAGGACACAGCUGAUAAGAAUAAUCCCAAGUGAGGGCUCGUUCCUUCAGGCAUGGACAGGGCCACCCAGCAGCUGACGAUGUUAAUAAAAUUGUCAGGCAGCUAUUAGAAUAACUUAAAAUUAUCCAGAUUUUUAUAGCUACCUAAAAAGGCCAAACGGCUCUUGUCUUUGCCCAUAAAAUGAACAUCUGUUAGCUCCUAAAAGACUAGUAUCCGUGCUCAGUGGCUGGACCUCAGUCCCUCUCUCUUCCUGGGAUGCUCAAUUAUGUACUGUUUUUUUUUUUUUCUUACCCCCAUCUCUAAAAUGGUCUGUCCCUACAGCAGAUACAUCUGCUUGAUGUUUCUUUGUUCUAAAUAUUUUUACCUUUUUUUCUCCCACUGAAAGAAACCAAGCAUUCGAGUUCAACGCAUGUCUUGAGCUCUAACCUAUGCCAUAUCUUGCUCUGUGCUGGCUCUUCGGUAUACGAGUUCGUGCUCUCCGUGUCCAUUCCUAGUGAAUUAAUAGCUGGGCGUUAUCCGGCAGUCAUUUUCAGGCCAAUUGUGCUGACCGCUGUGCUUGGCACUUAGAAAUUAGCAUAUACCUCUUGUAUGUACAAGGGGAAAGGGUCUUAGGACUGAAUUCUUUUCCAUUCUGAAAAUCAGCAUAGUCUUGGGGUGCCUGGGUGGCUGAGUCAGUUAAGUGUCCAGCUCUUCUUGAUGUUGGCUCAGGUCAUGAUCUUAUGGUUCCCGACAUCGAGCCCCGUGUUGGGUUGCACACUGAGCGUGGAGCCUGCUUGGGAUUCUCUCUAUCCCUCUCUGCCCCUGCCCCACUCAUGCAUGUGCACGUUCUCUUUCUCAAAAUAAAUAAACUUAAAAUCAGCACACUCUUAAUGUCAUGUCUUAGAAAUAUCAGGAGGGGCUGAUGAGCCCAGAACUUAAGCCAGCAGUGAUAAGCACUUGCAGACAAGGACCAGGCCACCUAGCAGCUGUCUGCUCUUGGGUCAGUGACCACCUCAGUCCACCUCAGUGUUUUUAUCUGUAAAUUGGGGAUGAAAAAUCUCUGCCCUAGAGUAACUAGUUUCUGGAUUAUUGGAGAUGCUCCAUGAGACAUACACAGAGUGGCACCCAGCACAAGAGUAGGGGCUGAAUAGAUGGGGCUCCUAGUCUCCCCCCUUUUCAGGACUUCUACAUCUGUGCAUCUAUCUGUUGCCUGCACAAACCCAUCCUAGAGCCUGUGGGGACAGAGACCAGUAUAACAGGUGUUACAGGUGGGGGAAAAUGGGACACAAAGAGAUUAACAAGUUCCUAGAUCUCACACGAGGAAGACUUAGGUUAAUACAGUUAGCAUGUGAUGGAGUUAAAGGAUAUAUGUGGCCCUCUUCAUUUCUGGUUUUUUUAUUCAUUAUUUAAUAAGCAUUAAUUAAGCACCUACUAUGUGCCAAGCAUAUCAGAGUUGGAUACCACUGCUACACCUAAGUUCAUGGCACAAUUACGCUAAAAUGGCUUUCUGGAUCAUGUCAGCACUCCUAAGGCUUCAGACCCUUCCGUAUAAGCCCUGCCUUGCAAGUAAGGUGUUCAGCCUCUGUUGUACGCAUCCUUUGGAAAGAAGCUAACCUCACAGGACAAUCUUCUCUGCUUCUGGACAUCUUGAGCAAAGCUUGGAUAAGCCUAAACCACUGCCUGUCUUCUUCUCCCUGUUUAGAGUCAUGUCCUCCAAGACCCAGAGCUGAGGCUGAUUGAUUUUCUGAUGAUGUCCUUUCAGGUAAUUAACGGCUGGCUUCAUGGCUGCCUGCAAGGCUUACCUCCGUCAGGCCCAAUGUCUGAAUUCCUCUAGGAAGUGGGAUUCCACGUUUACCAGGAUCUCUGUCUGGGGUGGCAGCACAUGAUCACAAAACCAGCAUAGGACCAUACUCAUGUUCCACUCUGCCAUUUUCUUGCUGUGUGACCUUGAGCCAGUGAGUCAGUCUCUAGGCUCCUCAAAAGGAAGGGGCAGUCACAAUGAUGUUGACCCAGGAUAGUUGAAGGAUUAAUUGAUGUAGCUUUGCAUGAUAGUGCUGUAUGUGUGUCUAGCUGUCCACACGGGCAGCGCUUCUGACUUGAUGGGGUCAGGUCUCAGGUUAUGGAUGAAGAUGCUGACGUACCAUCAGGACACGUGAGCCUCCAACCUCCCAGCCUGGAACGUCUGUUAGAAGGUCAGGGUGAGGCUGGAUCUCAGUGCCCUGUAUGUGCCCUGAAUGACCGGGUGGAAAGUCAGGAUGGCCAGUCUCUGCAAUGCCUGAAUUCCUGCUGUGCACAGGGUGGUACCUGAUGGCCAGACAAUAAGUAGCGUCCUUCCAGUCCGGAGAAAAGGGCCAGCUAACCAAAUGAUCAUAUCCGAAUCUGAGUCCAUAUGCAGGCUGGUAUUUCUCAAAUUUGGAUGUGCUUCAAAGUCUGUCUCCUAGGGAACUUUCAGACCAUGGGUCCCGUGCUUGAAGAUUCAGAUUCUAUAGGUACGGAGUGAGGUCUGUGCACUAUGAGACGGACACAGUUGACUUCAGGGGGCACAAGAGAGCAAACACACCUAACUUCUCAAUACUGGUGAGCUGAGGUCGUAUGAGACCUGGGAUAAAAGGACAUUUUGCCCCUGGAUUGUUUGGUCUUCGUUUUUAGUUUGCUGGGAAAAUAUAAAACCAGUGCCAUUAGGAGGCUUAUCUGAUAGCUUUAAAAAAAAUGCUUCAGUGAAACAGUCUUGCCCUACAGGAAGUGAACAUCUUUGGUUUGCCAAGUUCUAGGCCAGUUGCUAUAUAUGUCACUUCAGUUAGGUGAGCUUUUGCUGCAAGUGACAGGGCUUUAAGCCAUAAGGAGGUAGGGAAGCCCAGGGCCUUUGCAGCAGCUCCACGGUGUCCUCAAGACCCCAGAUUCUUCCCAUCUUUUUAUAUUCUUAGUGUGUUGGCUUUUUGUCUCCAUACUUCUUGCUUCAUGGUUGCAAGAUGGCUGCCAUGGCCCAGGCCAUCUUAUCUUUACUCCAGGGUCUCUAAAGAAAGAUAAAGCAAGGCGAAAAUCCUUUCUCUUCUGGAAGUCCUACCUUUUCAUUGAGAGUAAGAACCUCCACCGCUGUGAACUAUGUCGUCUUUCCUUUGGGGUACUUAGUGCUCUCUGCCCUGCCAACAGCUCUACACAUUAGGCUGCUUUUUGUCACCUGUGUACUUCAUUGCCCACUAUCGUUUUUGGCUCCAGGUGCCCACUUGGUAAAUGCCCUUGACUGGAUUCCUGUAGGUAAUUAGGUAUCCACAGUAAAUUAGGAAGAUUCUUAGCUACUGCAUUUGGAUGGACCUUAGUGGUGGAGUUGUGAUUCCCACGGUGCUGGUUCAACCUGAGGGGCCACCCAACCUGAGGUUGGGUUGAUAAAGCAGGAGGCCAUCACAACACUCAGUGGCGAUGAGCCAGGUAUUAAAGAGGGUUUGAUAUUUCUUCUAAUGAAAAGCACGCAAGAUACCAUUUGAAGUUCAUCUUCCUCCAACUCUUCAGAGAGUUCUUUUUUGGUAGGACAUGGCUGGUAGAAAAGAUACUGGGGAAGUAAAAAAAGAGAGAGAGAGUAGAGAAGAUAUUCACCGUUCCAUGUUUAGGGAGUUGGGUAAGGGAGAUGGAACGUUGUAACUUUUGAUGGUGGGUGUACAAUAAUUGUUGUAGUUGAUGAACCUCUCCACCUUGGAAAGUAAGGGUAUAAGACUAAAGAAUUUCACAAAUGUAAAUACUGAAUAUAGUGCCCCAUAUUUAGUAGACAUGUAUUAAAUUAUCUGCUAUUAUUAAUCUUGGAAACUGUAUGAGAUUUGACCCUCUGAAACCCACAAUUUGAAGGAGAAGAAAGGAGGUACAUUAAUUACUCUGUGCAAAGAUCUAUUGCUAGAACUUUUCUUUUUAUUCCUCCAAUAGACUGAGAUCGAUAUUAAUAUACUGAUUUUACAGAGCAGAAAAUUUGGGGGCCUCGGAAAGAUUAAGCUAUUUGUUCAAGUCCAGAAAUCGGUUUGAUUUAUUUUGUUUCCUUUACUCUUAAGAAACUAGAACUUUCUAUCUCCUGGACUUCCUUCUCUUCUCUUUGUAUACUAAUUAAUCAAAUAGUCAAUUAACCCACUGUUCAAUUAAAAAUACAGCAGAUGAGGUCUGGGGAUGCAGAGAUAUAGUCACAGGCUUGCUCCCAUGCAGCUGUUUAGUUGUUCAAGCUCAGAAGUAUCUUGGCACCAAAGCUGUUCUUCUGCUCUUCCAUAUGGGAACUGCGUUUCUGCCUACGGACGUCUAGCCCUGCUCUAGGGUAGGGUAUGACUUGUCUUUUAGGAACACCGGCUCAUUCUCCCUCCUCUCCUUUCUGGGCCUUCUCUCUCCUCUCAUUUUUCCCUCUUGCAGUUACAGUUCCUUUCACCCACAUAGUCAGUCACUUUCUCUUUGUGUUGGCACUUUCCUUGAAUGGGGUCAGCAUCUGGGCAGAUGGUUGUACCUUCCACAGAGGAGCCAGGGGACCGCAGACUCUGUGGCACUCAGAAGCUGGGUCAGGAGGUGUCACAUCAGAUACAGGGGCAUGUUAAGUCAUCUUGAUGGUGGAGAAAUGGCGACAGUGGUUCAAGUUGACGCUCAUCUUUGAGGUGGUCUCUGAGCUGCCCACCAUCCCAGUACUUCUCACCAAGAAAGAGUCAUGUCAGGAUUGAUCUCCCUGAAGGUAAAUGUCCCCUGGUGCUCCCACCACAUCACCUACUUGGGUCUUUGGAGCCCCUGCCACGUGUCAGUGUCAUUGUCACUGAGCCAAUGUUUGUCAACGUGCAUUCUGAGGACCACCAGCCUAGAAACAUGUGGGGCUUCCUUAGGAAAACAGAUUUCCAGGUCCAGGUCCCCAGACCUACCAGGAUUUGACCUUGAGAUCCAUAUUUUUACCCAACUUCAUGGGUCACACGGAUGCAAUCUUUGGGUCAUGCUUUGAGAUAGGCUUCUUCACUCAACUGUGAGCUGCAUGGGAGCAAGUCUGUGACUGUAUCUGUGCAGUCCCAGCACCUUGCCUGAUUAUUUUUUUAAUUGAAUGGUGGGCUAAUUGAGUAUUUGAUUAAUUAGUAUACAAAGAGAAGAGAAAGGAGUUCAGGAAAUGCAAGUUUCCUGAGAGUAAAGGAAAACAGUAUAAAUCAGUUGCCCUGAAAGAUCAGAACGGCCUUUGCAACUUAAGAACUUGUGUUCAGCGUUUUCCGUGUGAACUCUUCCUGGGGCCCCAUUGUCGCUGCUCUCCCUGGAUCGUGUCAAGCCAGACCCUUAUGUGGGGAAUUUACCUGUAUUGUGAACAGACGCCUGCACUGGGCUUUACUCAUCUGAUGAGUGCUUCCGGACCCUAAGUCUGGUUUGGGCAUUACCUUCUCCUGAAGCACAUUCUGUUUUUCUCCAGAUCAAGCAGGGUCAGUCUCUCCUUUACUUCACUGCCAUCUCUUUCUAAAACCGGCCUCCUCAAGAGCUUUGCUUUGUGUUAUUUAAAAUGUUCACAUCUCCCUUAUUAGACUAGAAGCCCUUGAAGACCGAGAACUUCAUGUGCUGUGUACAUAGUAGGCACAUAAAUCCUUCCGGAAUAAAUGGUUAAUGAAGUGACCAGGUUCUGAUACCAGCUCUGCUUCUUAGGAACUAGCUGACUUCAUCUCACUGCGUCUGAUUUUCCUGAAUAUCAGAAAAUGAAUAAUUAAGCGGUGGAUCGUGCUGUGAAUGGAGGAGAUACUAAAAGACGGACUUGGGGCUCUUUAUUAUCAUUUGUAAUACAUAGCAGAGAGAGCAAUUACUUUAGCUCAUCUUCCAAAGUUGGAAAGAUAUUAGUUAACUUUGCUUUGACUUUUUUCCCCUCGUAGUAAUUUUUUAGCAGGCAUUCAUUCAUGGGGUCUUUAUUGUAUUGGGUAAGCCCGUAUCUUUUUCUUCUUUUUUUUCUUUAGCAGCUUUAUUAAGAUAUAAUUCACAUACCAUAAAAGUUGCCCUUUUAAAGUAUGUAGUGCAGUGAUUUUUAGCAUAGUCAAACAUUCAAAGAGUUGUGCAACUAUAUCAGAACUUUUUAAUUUUAGAACAUUUUAAUCACCCCAAAAUAGAUACUUCUCAGCCUUUUGUGGUCACUCCCCAUCAUUCCUCACCCUGCCAGCUCAUGGCAACCGCUAGCCUACUUUCUGCAUCUAGAAUUCACCUAGUCUGUUUCAUAUAAAUAGAAUAAUACAUUAUGUGAUCUUUUCUGGCUUCUUUUGCCUAGCAUGUUUUUAAGGUUCAUCCACGUUGUAGCAUGUAUCAGUACAUCAUUCCUUUUUAUGGCCAAGUCCUCUUCCAUUGUAGGGUUAUACCCCAUUUUUUAAUGCAUUCAUCAGCUGGUAGACAUUUGGGUUGUUUCCACUUUCUGGCUCUUAGGAAUAAUGCUGCUAUGAAUAUUGCAUAGCUCGUUUUUGUGUGGACAUGUAUUUUCAGCUCUCUUGGGAAUAUACUAAACAGAAGGUCUGUUUAAUAUUUUGGGGAACUGCCAAACUGUUUUCCAAAGUGUCCCAUUUGCAAGCCUGUAUCUUAGACCUAGCCUUUCGUGUGCUAAGAAUACCAACGCCCGUGUCUUCGUUGAAAGCCAGCUAAUCAGACAGGUGAAACACAGGUGACGAAUGUGGAACAAAGAGCUGCAGACUGCUCCAUCACUGCAGCCACUCUGAGGCCCAGUUCAGACACAGUGAGUGGGUCCAGUGUGAUGGGAAAAGACACAGAGGAUCCAGGGCUUAGGGGUCGCCUUGGGACAGAUGAAGUUGUUUAGCCGUGAGGCAAAGGCAGGAUGGUAUCUAAAAGGUAAAUUUCCAUGACGGGUGCCUGCAUCCUGAUCACACAUCAUGUAUCACUUAUAUUUGUUUUUCUUUCUCUUCAGUGGCAUGCAGCAGAAUUGCUUGAGAGGCUAUUUCCUGCAGCUUUCGGCUUCCGUCUCUCUACUUUGUACAAUAGUUACAAUCAAGGUUCAUAAUACCUCCAAUCUCUUACCGGAGGUCACACCUUCUAUGCUGCAAAUCGUGCUGAUACCAUGGCCCUGAGGUGGCCACUGAUUUGCCCAGGAGACUGUUUUUCAUUGAAGGUGUUUUCUCUGGGCCUCCAUCCUAAAGGAUUAAGCAGAGCCUGUUAGAGCCGGCAGGUCAAGGGUCCCUCUGUUCUUGAUGGCAGAGCAGGUAAUGAGACCUUCUGCAGUACGGGGUCAGCUCUGACUCUUGUCCUCCUUUCUCCCUGCCCUAAUUAUUAUUUGUCUCAACUGAGGUAGGACUUUCAUCUUUAUGACAACACCACACUCUCUAAUGGAAAGAUUCUAAACAAAAGAUUAACAAGCAUUUAGACCCUUCCUAAACCAGAAGGUCUGUGUGCUAAAUCGACAAAUGCAAAACCACCUCAGUGGUAGCAGCCUUACUGCAUUUCAGACAGAAUUCCCUGGGGUCCCUCUUGCCAGGUUUCUUUGCCACAACAAACUACCUCUACCAGAGAUAAAUUCCCCUGUAGAGACACUGGAAGAGAAAGGGCUCUCUGGACCAUGCCUAGUGACAGUGGGCUGAGCUUUUCUUAUGGCUUCUGUUUGAUUUGAAGGUGUUCUGUUUUGUUUUAGCUUUACCUUGUGAUUUUUGGUAGAUCAGUGACUCCAGCCAACCAGGAAGCAGGAGUGGCUUUUCAGACCUCUAGGAGGCUCACGUCUGUAUUGGAAUGAGAGAAAGGUUUGACUGAAAGGCUUUUGGGAUGAAGGCAGUUGUCUGGCACCCGAACUCACUCUGGAAGGGUGCAUGUUGGAGGGAACGAGAGAACACGGAACGGGAUGAUGACGCAGACGUUCUGGGGUCCCAGGGUUGCGUUGGUAGUUUCCCAGGUUCAAGUAAACACAUUUUACAUGGGACCCUAUACUUGGAGCAUUAGAGAUUUUAGAAGAUGAUGAGGGCACAAAGAAAAAUAAGUACGUUAGAAAGGAAAUGGCAUGAGCAGUUGCCAGGGAUGAGAGAGUAAAAGGAAGUAGCUACAGUUUUGAAAGCAAUGGACAGUAUCAGGGAGGUGUUUGCAGUCAGAUGGGACAGGUCAGGUUCCUGACUGCUGGGUAGUUAGUUGACUCUCCGUGUAUGAUAAAGUGGUACAGAGCUAUUCACACAGUGUGCCAACAUCAGUAUCCUGGUUGGAUAUCGUACUGUCCUUAAUGUCAGACAUCACCAUGGGAGAAAUUGUGUGAAGGGUACAUGGGACGUCCCUGUGCUAUAUUGCAACAUCUAUAAUUAUUUCAAACCAAAAAAGGUUCUGUUUUUGUUUUUGUUUUAACUUGGGAGGAAAAAAAGGAAAUAGUACUGCAAGCAGAAAAAAAAGUAAAUGAUGCGAUGGACAGGGCAAAUAAUGUCCUAGCGUCUAACUAGGUGUAACCUCUGUUGCGCUUCUGACAAAUAGUGUCAUUUCAAACCAGAAGGCAGCCCCUGGUGGCUUGUGUGGUGUCCAUCGUCAAGAUUCCCCAAGAGGAAAUUGUUUGGCUCAUGUCACACACAAGGGACUAAUCUCAAAAUUGUAUGCUAAGAACUCCUAGAAAUUAACAUGAAAAAGACCAACAACUAUGGUCAAAGAAUAUGAACACAUCAUUCACAGAGGAAGAAAUACAAGUGGUUCCUAAACAUAAAAAAGAGACUCAACCUCUCUCUCAAAAAUUAAAAAAACAAACAGUUAUGCAUAUAAGACUAUACUGAGAUACCACUUUUAAAAUCUGAGAUUUGCAAAGAUCUGUAAAUUUCUUUAACACAUUCUGUUGACGGAGCUGUGGGAAAGCGGCCCUCUCAGGCUUUUCUGGUGGGAGUAUGAACGGGCGACUCGGCAGAACUGACAAAAUUCCUGGAACACAGAAAAUUCAUUUUGUCCUUCCCCAGUGAUACAGUUAUAGCUGGAGCAUGGCUAAGCAGCCAAGGGCUACCCUUCCCAGCAAUGUGUCUGCUGCAACUCAGCAGUAGGAUGCGAAUUAAAAACGUGCCUGUGUAUGCGUGUGCGCGCAUGCACAUUUGCAGAAAUAGCCACAAGUUCCUUCCUUCCCUGUGCGCAUGCCCUGCACCACGGCUUUGCAGCCCCGCCCAUCAAGAGGAGGAGUUUGUCUUUACUUCCUGAAUCUGGGCUGCUCUUAGCACUUGUUUUGGCCCAUGGGAUGGGAGCAAAUUCAACCUGAGCAGGGACUGGAAAGCUUUGGGGCUCACCCCUCUGCUGCCUUCUGCUGUGACGUGAACACACUUGGGCCAGCCUGCCAGAGGGUGAGAGACCAUGCGAAGAGAAGUCCCUGUCGCCUGAGCUGCCUUAUGAGGGUUGCAGAGGCCAUCACGUAGUAGCCAACCCCAGCUGAUCCACGAGCCAACUACAGAUGCUGAGCAAACUCAGCCAUGAGACCAUGCGUGGUCCACCUGCAUGUUGAAGCCAGUACGUCUUGGGGUGAUUUGUUACACAGCAGUGCGGGUCCCAGUGUGUUCUUUCCGAGACAAGUUCUCUAAGAACCGCAUAUGCCCUGUCAUGCUCUCUCUUCACCAUUUCAUCAUCAUUCCUGAGAUAACUCAUAGUUCAAUCUCAUCUUCAGUUAGGCAGGCAGUACCAGCAAAUAUUCAUCAAGACUCUACUUGGCAAGUGCUAAGGACUCAAAGUCAGAUGCUCUGGCUUCCGGAAGCUUACCUUCCAGCAAGAGAUAAAUAGAAACAGUUAUUUCAGGUGCUGGCAAGUGCAGUGAUGGGAGUAAAUUGGGAAGGUUGGGAUGCCCUCCCUCAGUUGACAAGGAGGGAAGUGUAGGGCACUUAGCGCUCAGUGCUUGCCUUUCACAAAUGAGCGAAGUAAGUCACAAAGUGAUAGCUCGUGUUUUGCACAGUAAUCCCGUGAAUUUCCUGCAGCCUGUGUUUCACAGAGCAUUACAGAAACCAGGACAGAAAUACAGAGAAAACCAUAGGGAGUCCAGCAGAGCAAACCCAGGAUUAGGACUCCACUGUGGACUGCAGAAGCAGUCGGAGAGUGGACUGUGCUUCAGCCUAAUGCACAGGGAGUAGCUGGACAUGUGUCAGGGGCAGCGUGAGUUGGAGAUGACAGUUCUGAACUGCUGCGCUCUGCAGAGAGAGGUCUGAGUUCCCUGCAUGCUUGUUAGAAAUGCAGAAGCCCGGAGGAUGUUCCUUGCACAAUUGUGGGAUCCAGAAGACUACAUUUUAUCACCCCUGUGUGCAGGGCUCAGGCUCACAGCAGUUUAAGAACUACUGAAAUUGAUGAAUCACGGUCUCUUACAAGAGAGACAAGCCUCUCGACAAGGGAAAGCCAGCUGGAGCAACUUUUUAACCCAAGGAAAAGAAAAUGCUCUUUAAAUAAAUACCAAGAAAUAAAUCCCCCUUUCCUUCAGAACACAACUUGGAAAUGUUGUCUUUUAUGUCCGACAUUAAAAACAAUGUGGGCUAGUGAUGUAGCCAUCCCAGAUCAGGCCUCUGAAGAAAUGAGUUGUUUCUUUUCUUCCCCCCUUGUUCUUUACUUCUAAAAUAUUGUUUCUUCUUUUGGUUAAAUGACGGACUUCAGUAGAGCAGAGAAGAUGUAAAAAUAGCAACUAUUUAGAAGAAAUUUGGGAAGGGAAUCAUCAAUUUUUUUUUUUUUAAUGUAGGAAGUAAAGUCCUCAGGGGUGGGAGAUGGGGAGCCUAGUUUGUGAUAUGGAACGUGAAAGAUGUGCCCUUUGCCCCAUGAAUGAAACCUGAAGGGUCUGGCUGGGGCUUCCUUUUAUCAGCUCAGGUAACCUGCCUCAGGACCUGGAUGGAGCUUCAGGUGAGUUUUAGAGGUAACAGUGCCCCCUGCUGGCGUGAGUGGUUUUUAACAUUAGAACUUGCAAAAUCCUGGGCCCUCUGUGUCUGGGGUAGAAUCUGUGCCUUAGCCAUCCACCUCCCAGAGUUCCCCGGUCUCCUUGGGGUGAACCUCUCUCUAGAGCACACGUGUCCUCCUGACGUGUGGGCAGCUCAGAGGCCUUCAGGGUUUUGCCAGAGAUCAGUGUGCAGGAGGAGUUGGAUUUUCACUCAGCAGCUUAGGCAUAUCCGUGGGAUUUCAUUCUUCCUGUGGAAGCCAAAGUCCCUUUAGACUGUGGUAUCAGGUGGCCGCAAGUGAAACCUUUUAUUUUCCUUUUCCUAAAACACGUUACAGCCAGCUGACUAAAUGGAAUUUUUCUUCGUGUCUGUUCUUGCUAGGUAUAUCAGAUUAUUACCAGAAUUUUAAACCUUGUCUAGUACCCCCAGCCGUAUCCCUUUGUCUGAAUCAGUCUCUUAGGGACCCUCCCAGGAAAUAGCUGGCACUCUUUUUACCGUGGACUGUCAGCCUCAUUUCUCACACAUCGACCCCUGUCCUGGAGAACUGUCCGUGGCCUGCUGACUUAGGAGGGUCCCUGUGGGUAGAACUUAUGUGGGAUCCUGUUAUGGUCAACACUAGUGGAGAAGGACCCGUCGGCCAGCAUUCCAUGUCCUGAGCCUACCACUUACCGGCUGUGUGAUUUGGGCAGGUGGUUUAACUUAAUUGGGCCUCAGUCUCCUCAUGUAUAAGAUGGGGAUGACAGUAACAGAAUCUAACUCAUAUGGUUAGUGUGACCAUCCAGUGAGGUAAUAAUAUAUGUUACGUGUUUAGAACAGUGAUUAACAAAAGAUGCUCAGUGCACAUUUGCCAUUGUUCCAGCUCCUUCACUUAAAGGCCCGAAGUUCUCCUGUGGUUGUCUUCUUGGCCAUAAAAACAGCCUUAAGUCCUAUCCUGAAUCCCACUGCCUUGGGAAGAGAGAGCCCCAAGUAAUAAAAAGUCUAUCUAAAGAUGCUUUGCUCAGUAACGGAGAGUUCGCUUUCCCGUAGCUCAGGUUGUACCGCCUCAGGAUUACCAGGCAGUGCUUAUUCACAAUUAAGGAAACUAUGCAGGGGAAGAAAGAAAAAAAAGCCACAUGCUACCUUCAAGAACUGGAGAUUUUCAUCACUUCUUUUGAAUUAUUCACACUCCGUAUUCCCCUUAUUAAUGCAGAUAAUAAAGAGUUGGCAACAUUUUGGAGGUCUGGGCCCCAACACAAGAGUGUUUGUUUUCUUUUUAAAGCUCCAGUAAACAUUAAAAAAAAAAAAAUGAUGGUGCCCCCCCCCCCCUUGUGGACUUCUGUGGGGUUCUUGUCAUCACUGUCUAGUAAGUGGGAGAGAAAAGGGCUUAAACAGGACAAAGUGGGGAGCACUUCCCCCAGUGAUACAGGCACUGGUCUUGAGGGUAACGUUGGCCGGUCCUCUGUGGAUGGUGUUGUGAGCAGCAGAUUGACUGUGUAAUUUGUGGAGCCCAUUGCAAAAUUACACGUAAGACCUCCUCUUUCUAGAACUGUUAGGAAUUUCAGAAUGGUGACAGCAGAGUGUUAAUCCAAGUGCAGCUUGGGUUUUUUGUGGCUAAAUGGGUCAUAAGACCAUGAGGCCAGCCCUGGAAGGGUGCUGGGAUGGGGGCUUAUCCCCUAUGCUUGCCACACUUUGAGCAUCUGGAUGUUUGCUGUGUCUCCAUCACAGUGUGCACAUACCUGCCUCAUGGCUUUUACUUGCUGUCCCUCUGCCUGGAAGUCUGUGCCCCCAGGUCACCCUAGGGCCCACCUAGGUUCCUGCUCAGACGUCACCUUAGCAGAAGGGCCUUCCCUGAGCACCUUCCUCCAAAUAGCACUCCCUGCCUUUGCAAACACUCUCCCUUACACCCUUUGCCUCAAAGACCUGACUCUCUCCAUACAUAUGGUUCAUCAUUAUUGCUGUUCUUACCCCAGUGAAGUGUAAGCUCUUGGAGGGCUGGGACUCGAUCCGAGCUGCUCACUGCUCUGUGUAUUCUGUAGGGCUCGCCCAGUGCCAGUCACACCUUUGUUGCUUGGUAUGUGUGGAGUGCCUGUGUGGGGAUGCUUUUUGCCCUCUGGCAAAGCCAAACCAGGUGUGAGGGUUCAAGAGAGGGCCGAGGGUUUGCUCUUGACUCUGCCUGCUUUUAUCAGUGAUCUGCUCAGGCAGAAGCAUUUCUUCCUCUUGGUCUCCAUGAGUCUGAUUCAGACUCUGUGCCAUUUGUAAGAUUCAGGACCUUGACUAUGAAACAGAAAACGGGUGUUGGCACGUAAGAGGCCAAAGUCGCCACUGAAUUUUAAGAAUCUGCUGAAACACACUACUUCCUGCCAUUGAGUUUGCAGCUGUGGUGUGGGACGGUUCUGAGGUCAGACAUGCUGGAGGGAGUGGGGGAUUAAACAUAAGGUGACCUGGCUUUUGACUUCAGGGUUCUCAGAGCCCUGUGUGUGCUGACAUGCACUGAAUUUCACAAACUUAUUCAUUCAUUUCACCAAGUAUCUCAGGGCACCGUUCAUCUGUGAAGUACACAUCGGGACACCCUGGUGUUUUGGCAAAUGCCUGUUCCUGGACUCUGCACUCCCUUCCAGGCAGAUUAAGUCAGGAGACCCCCACCUCCUUACCUGGGCUCUUCAGUCUACAAAACAAGGAUGGCAUUUCUAAUUUUAUUAUUGAAUGUGUGCUGAGUGAGCCCAGAAUUCUUGUCCAGCUGCAGCGCUCUGGAAAAGACAGUCCUGGCUUUCUAUUCUCUAAUUGCUGUCGAUAUUCCUUCCUUCAUUCAGCCAGCCAGCAGAUGUAUGCUGAGUACCCGUCAUGUGCUAGGGAUUCUUUGAGCCCCUCAAAAAAGAGCAGUGAAACCAAACCACAUCUCUGCCUUUUGGAACAUACCUUUUCAUAGAUGUCCAGGAUGAGCCACUGGCAUGGAUAGAUUUGCUAUCUCUCAAGGUCUCGAUGCCUCAAUUAGCACUGGAAAAGCCACUCAUAAUGGUGUGAAAGAAGGAACGUUUAGGCCCAAAGUCUAGAGACCUGAAUUACCAUCCAGGCCUCACCACCGACAAAAGUGGCUUUGAGAUCAAGAGUUUACCCUCUGAAGUCACACCAUACCAGGUUCAAUCUCGGCUGUGCUGUUUGCUGACCCCUUGAGCAAACAACUUCUCAAUAUCAGCUGGUAGUUUUCACAUGCCGUAUAGGGCCAGGCACACCACCUGCUGCCAAGGAAAUACUGCACGUCAAUUCCUUAGCGCAGUGCCUGGUUCCUGUGUGCACAUGAUGCUUUGUCCAUUCAUGUUGUUUGAACCCUCUCUGAACUUAGGCCUCUUGCUUUGGACUUUGGCUGUCCCUUUCUAUAAGACCAAGUGUUUGUUUCAGCUCGACAUGGGUCUGUUUCAGACUCAGUUUAAGUAGUAUUGGACCUGGGAUGAUUGUCUCUCCUCCACAUAUAUACUGGGGCAACUAAAAUAUGGCAGUAUGAGGUCUCUAUAUCUGUGCCUGUAUACAGAUACGUAUCAUAUAUGUGUACGUAAGUAUACAUAUAUGUACAUAUGCCUUAUCAUGUGUGUGUGUGUGUGUGUGUGUGUGUGUGUGUGUGCGCAAAGAACCUCAGCUUGUAGGUCUAUAGAGCUUUUCUGUUUCUGUCGUUGCAGUCUGUAGUCCGUAUCCCAGCUCCUGAGCGAUGAUGCAUUUUCACAUAUGGGGGAGUGCUCCAGGGUCAGAGAAAUUAAUUUCUGCCCAUUCCAGUGCAAGGAUUCUAUCAAUCCUUGUGUGGUCCAUGGGGAUUUUUAUUAAUUUCCUCUUUUGCACGUACUUUAUUUCUGUUUAUUCUGCUCUCCUGGAUCUGUCAUCAUUCUGCUUACCGUUAACUAGUUUCCUGGAGCAGAAACAUCUUCUUGCUGCUGGUCUCCGUCAUCUGCAUGCCAAUUCUACGAUUCAGGAGCCUGGCCAUACAACUGUAUGAAAUAGGAACCAAAAGGUUCUGGAAUUGCCCCAUGCUCAGUAAUACUCAGAUUUCACAAGGGUUAGCCCAUUUAGCACACAAAGGAAUCUCAGCCAAAAUUUAGACAUGGGUAGCUUUUCCUAUUACCUUGAAAUUAGUCUCGAUUACCCUUAAAUUAUUGAAGAUUGACCGCCAUGCAAAGUGGUUUCUCCUUUCAUUAAUCUCACUAAAUGGCUGCAUUUGUUACAAAUCUUUUUUCCCCCCCUCUCCAGCACGAUUCCUUUUCUCAGAAAGGCUCUUCUGCAGUACCUUUCUUUUACAUUCCUUACUUUUGUUUGAGCAUUUUGAUUAAUGGUCACACCAGAGCACAUCCUGACAGCCCUGCUUCUCACCUAUGUUUCUCCAGCAAAACGUCUGAAUGCAAUGUGUGCAUCUUCCAGGAUCCUUGGGUGUUAGGUGCCACUGCCCCCCUCCCCAUUGCCCCCCCCCC